GACGAACGCUGGCGGCGUGCUUAACACAUGCAAGUCGAACGGAAAGGCCCUGCUUUUGUGGGGUGCUCGAGUGGCGAACGGGUGAGUAACACGUGAGUAACCUGCCCUUGACUUUGGGAUAACUUCAGGAAACUGGGGCUUAUACCGGAUAGGAGCUCCUGCUGCAUGGUGGGGGUUGGAAAAUUUCGGCGGUUGGGGAUGGACUCGCGGCUUAUCAGCUUGUUGGUGGGGUAGUGGCUUACCAAGGCUUUGACGGGUAGCCGGCCUGAGAGGGUGACCGGCCACAUUGGGACUGAGAUACGGCCCAGACUCCUACGGGAGGCAGCAGUGGGGAAUAUUGCACAAUGGGCGGAAGCCUGAUGCAGCAACGCCGCGUGCGGGAUGACGGCCUUCGGGUUGUAAACCGCUUUCGCCUGUGACGAAGCGUGAGUGACGGUAAUGGGUAAAGAAGCACCGGCUAACUACGUG
rnacentral:rRNA from 1 species